AGUGUUAGAAAAAAGCAGUACUACUCGUCGGCCAGUAACUCCUAUCACAUCUGAUGAUGAUGAUGAUGCUGCGGAAGCAGGUCCAUCAAAAGAAGUAUGGAGCAGCAGAAGUGGCACUUCUGUAAGACAUCACCACAAAAAACCUGUGGCCGAAAAGAAAGCAAGGUCGUAUGUCCCGGCACAAACACAGCAGGCUACCCCGCCACGAAGAUUAUCGUCCGUAUGUUCUGUACCCCCACUCCAAAUUUUGGACACAGCUCCAAGACGUCAUCCACACUCCCCUCAUCUUGAUUCUUCGAGUCCUGGGAACAGCAUCUCUCCGCAACAACACCAACACAGUGACAUGGAGGAGACAAACAUCUUAGAAAUGCAGCCAUUAAUGCAAGGAAUGAGCCCCCCAGCACCUGUGAGUACACCACCAUAGCAAAGCACACCACCACCACAACACAGCCCAACAACACCAGGAACACAAGGCCCUGAUCAGGUGUUUUGGACUAUUUGGGCUAGACAGCAGGCCACUAAUGAAGAUUGCCUGCGUAAGCAGACACAAAU